rnacentral:rRNA from 1 species
UGCUCUGCAGCGUGCCUAACACAUGCAGUCGAACGCGAAAGUUUCUUCGGAAAUGAGUAGAGUGGCGCACGGGUGAGUAACGCGUGGAUUAUCUACCUACUGGUACGGGACAACAGUUGGAAACGACUGCUAAUACCGUAUACGCUGGUAACGGGAAAGGGGGCCCCUUCUUGAAAGCUCUCGCCAGUAGAUGAGUCCGCGUUUCAUUAGCUAGACGGUGGGGUAACGGCCUACCGUGGCAACGAUGAAUAGCAGGCCUGAGAGGGUGGCCUGCCACACUGGGACUGGAACACGGCCCAGACUCCUACGGGAGGCAGCAGUGGGGAAUAUUGCGCAAUGGACGAAAGUCUGACGCAGCGACGCCGCGUGGAGGAUGAAGGUUUUCGGAUCGUAAACUCCUGUCAAGAGGGAAGAAACCUAUUAUGAAUAAUACUCAUAGUAAUUGACGGUACCUCUAGAGGAAGCACCGGCUAAUUCAGUGCCAGCAGCCGCGGUAAUACUGAAGGUGCAAGCGUUAAUCGGAAUCACUGGGCGUAAAGCGCUCGUAGGUGGCUUUGUAAGUCAGGUGUGAAAGCCCACGGCUCAACCGUGGAAUUGCACUUGAUACUGCAUCGCUAGAGUAUAGGAGAGGGAAGUGGAAUUUCUGGUGUAGGAGUGAAAUCCGUAGAGAUCAGAAGGAACACCCGUGGCGAAGGCGACUUCCUGGACUAUUACUGACACUGAGGAGCGAAAGCGUGGGGAGCAAACAGGAUUAGAUACCCUGGUAGUCCACGCCGUAACGAUGGGUACUAGAUGUUGGGGGCUUGACCCUCGGUGCCGUAGUUAACGCGUUAAGUACCCCGCCUGGGGAGUACGGUCGCAAGGCUGAAACUCAAAUGAAUUGACGGAAGGGCGAA